rnacentral:rRNA from 1 species
GACGAACGCUGGCGGCGUGCUUAACACAUGCAAGUCGAACGGAAAGGCCCUGCUUUUGUGGGGUGCUCGAGUGGCGAACGGGUGAGUAACACGUGAGUAACCUGCCCUUGACUUUGGGAUAACUUCAGGAAACUGGGGCUAAUACCGGAUAGGAGCUCCUGCUGCAUGGUGGGGGUUGGAAAGUUUCGGCGGUUGGGGAUGGACUCGCGGCUUAUCAGCUUGUUGGUGGGGUAGUGGCUUACCAAGGCUUUGACGGGUAGCCGGCCUGAGAGGGUGACCGGCCACAUUGGGACUGAGAUACGGCCCAGACUCCUACGGGAGGCAGCAGUGGGGAAUAUUGCACAAUGGGCGGAAGCCUGAUGCAGCAACGCCGCGUGCGGGAUGACGGCCUUCGGGUUGUAAACCGCUUUCGCCUGUGACGAAGCGUGAGUGACGGUAAUGGGUAAAGAAGCACCGGCUAACUACGUGCCAGCAGCCGCGGUGAUACGUAGGGUGCGAGCGUUGUCCGGAUUUAUUGGGCGUAAAGGGCUCGUAGGUGGUUGAUCGCGUCGGAAGUGUAAUCUUGGGGCUUAACCCUGAGCGUGCUUUCGAUACGGGUUGACUUAAGGAAGGUAGGGGAGAAUGGAAUUCCUGGUGGAGCGGUGGAAUGCGCAGAUAUCAGGAGGAACACCAGUGGCGAAGGCGGUUCUCUGGGCCUUUCCUGACGCUGAGGAGCGAAAGCGUGGGGAGCGAACAGGCUUAGAUACCCUGGUAGUCCACGCUGUAAACGGUGGGUACUAGGUGUGGGGUCCAUUCCACGGGUUCCGUGCCGUAGCUAACGCUUUAAGUACCCCGCCUGGGGAGUACGGCCGCAAGGCUACAACUCAAAGGAAUUGACGGGGCCCCGCACAAGCGGCGGAGCAUGCGGAUUAAUUCGAUGCAACGCGUAGAACCUUACCUGGGUUUGACAUGGAUCGGGAGCGCUCAGAGAUGGGUGUGCCUCUUUUGGGGUCGGUUCACAGGUGGUGCAUGGCUGUCGUCAGCUCGUGUCGUGAGAUGUUGGGUUAAGUCCCGCAACGAGCGCAACCCUUGUUCACUGUUGCCAGCACGUUAUGGUGGGGACUCAGUGGAGACCACCGGGGUCAACUCGGAGGAAGGUGGGGAUGACGUCAAGUCAUCAUGCCCCUUAUGUCCAGGGCUUCACGCAUGCUACAAUGGCUGGUACAGAGAGUGGCGAGCCUGUGAGGGUGAGCGGAUCUCGGAAAGCCGGUCUCAGUUCGGAUUGGGGUCUGCAACUCGACCUCAUGAAGUCGGAGUCGCUAGUAAUCGCAGAUCAGCAACGCUGCGGUGAAUACGUUCCCGGGGCU